GAACGCUGGCGGCGUGCCUAAUACAUGCAAGUCGAGCGAGUCUGCCUUGAAGAUCGGAGUGCUUGCACUCUGUGAAACAAGAUACAGGCUAGCGGCGGACGGGUGAGUAACACGUGGGUAACCUGCCCAAGAGAUCGGGAUAACACCUGGAAACAGAUGCUAAUACCGGAUAACAACAGAUGAUGCCUAUCAACUGUUUAAAAGAUGGUUCUGCUAUCACUCUUGGAUGGACCUGCGGUGCAUUAGCUAGUUGGUAGGGUAACGGCCUACCAAGGCGAUGAUGCAUAGCCGAGUUGAGAGACUGAUCGGCCACAUUGGGACUGAGACACGGCCCAAACUCCUACGGGAGGCAGCAGUAGGGAAUCUUCCACAAUGGACGCAAGUCUGAUGGAGCAACGCCGCGUGAGUGAAGAAGGGUUUCGGCUCGUAAAGCUCUGUUGUUGGUGAAGAAGGACAGGGGUAGUAACUGACCUUUGUUUGACGGUAAUCAAUGAGAAAGUCACGGCUAACUAAGUG
rnacentral:rRNA from 1 species